rnacentral:rRNA from 1 species
GACCAGACUCCUACGGGAGGCAGCAGUGAGGAAUAUUGGUCAAUGGCCGAGAGGCUGAACCAGCCAAGUCGCGUGAGGGAAGACGGCCCUACGGGUUGUAAACCUCUUUUGUCGGGGAGCAAAGCGAGUCACGUGUGACUCAUUGAGAGUACCCGAAGAAAAAGCAUCGGCUAACUCCGUGCCAGCAGCCACGGUAAUACGGAGGAUGCGAGCGUUAUCCGGAUUUAUUGGGUUUAAAGGGUGCGCAGGCGGAGGUGCAAGUCAGCGGUCAAAUUGCGGGGCUCAACCCCGUACUGCCGUUGAAACUGCAUCCCUUGAGUGCGCGAGAAGUAUGCGGAAUGCGUGGUGUAGCGGUGAAAUGCAUAGAUAUAUGGAAGAACACCAGUGGCGAAGGCGGCUCUCUGGUCUGCAACUGACGCUGAGGCUCGAAAGCAUGGGUAGCGAACAGGAUUAGAUACCCCCGUACC